UUCAGUCUGAGAUUGGUAUGGUGUUUGAUA
rnacentral:piRNA from 1 species